rnacentral:lncRNA from 1 species
UUCUUCUAAAAGGCCAAGAGUGGAUGAUGAGGGUGAUUCAGGGAAUGAUGACUCAAGGGAUGAUGACUAUGAGCCUAGUGAUACUGAGGUCGAAUCUUCAGUAGCUCCUUCAGUUAAUGUUGAGGAUGAUGAGAUGAAUUAAGAGGGUGAUGUGGAUGAGAUCAUUGAUGUGCUGUCACAUACUGCUCCUAAGAGGAAGUGGACCAUGGAUACAUAUUCAAGAGAAAGAACUCCUUAUCAAUACAUUCUUCCUCGUACCACUUCAAAUCUCUUCUUUUAUACUCAGAUACAAGAGGAUGCCUUCUUUGGUCAUUUGCUGAGUAAGACAGUCUUUAAGCACCAAACCAUAGAUUUUCAUUAUAUGGC